rnacentral:tRNA from 1 species
GGGCGUAUAGCUCUAAUGGUAGAGUGUUUGAUUCCAAAUCAAAAUGUUGGGGGUUCGAGUCCCUCUGCGCCCG